rnacentral:rRNA from 1 species
UACGUAGGGGGCAAGCGUUGUUCGGAAUUACUGGGCGUAAAGGGCGCGUAGGUGGCCUUCUAAGUUGAACGUGAAAUCCCUGGGCUCAACCCAGGAACUGCGUCCAAGACUGGGAGGCUUGAAUCCGGGAGAGGGAUGCGGAAUUCCAGGUGUAGCGGUGAAAUGCGUAGAUAUCUGGAGGAACACCGAUGGCGAAGGCGGCAUCCUGGACCGGUAUUGACACUGAGGCGCGAAAGCCAGGGGAGCAAACGGG